rnacentral:rRNA from 1 species
AUUGAACGCUGGCGGCAGGCCUAACACAUGCAAGUCGAACGGCAGCACAGAAGAGCUUGCUCUUUGGGUGGCGAGUGGCGGACGGGUGAGUAAAGUCUGGGAAACUGCCCGAUGGAGGGGGAUAACUAAUGGAAACGGUAGCUAAUACCGCAUAACGUCGAAAGACCAAAGUGGGGGACCUUCGGGUCUCACACCAUCGGAUGUGACCAGAGGGGAUUAGGUAGUAGGUGGGGUAAUGGCUCACCUAGGCGACGAUCCGUAGCUGGUCUGGGAGGAUGACCAGCCACACUGGAACUGAGACACGGUCCAGACUCCUACGGGAGGCAGCAGUGGGGAAUAUUGCACAAUGGGCGCAAGCCUGAUGCAGCCAUGCCGCGUGUAUGAAGAAGGCCUUCGGGUUGUAAAGUACUUUCAGCGGGGAGGAAGGCGGUGAGGUUAAUAACCUUGCCGAUUGACGUUACCCGCAGAAGAAGCACCGGCUAACUCCGUGCCAGCCGCCGCGGUAA